rnacentral:misc_RNA from 1 species
AUGCACGCUCCGGAGGUAAAUCCUGCAAUUUUACGAUAGACACAUCCAAUUAUUUGGCUAUAGAAACAAUAGUAAAAAAGAUGACAAAGUUGAUUCAUCACUAUCUCGGAGGGUUGAAGGCUGGGCAGAUAGGAACUGUAAUGGUUCUACUAAAAUUUGGCCUUGUUUGGAAACAAGGUUGGUUUUCUAAAAAAACAUUCAAGCAAAAUGGGAAACAGAGUUUAGCAUUCAGUUGUAAUUUUUCCAAACAGAAAAUUAGAAACCAAUUUAUCGAGUUUCCUAAAUUUAUACUAAUCAUUAGAGUCUAGUUUUCUAUAUUUUCUUUCAAAAUGAAUUGAAGGGGAAACACCAGCAAGGCAGUAACAUCAUUCUUUUUUGGGUUAAUGUUCAAAAAAAAUCUUGAACUUUGAAGUUUCUAACAAUUCUACCCAAACUAUUUUUUUUAACAAAAAUAUACUAAACUUUUAACUUUUUUAUAAUUAUACCCUACCGUCAACUAGUCCGUUAAAUCUAACAGUCUUUGCCAUGUCAGUAUGUUUAACCCCAAAUUAAAACUUUAAAAAAAUAAUAAUAAUAAUUAUGGAGAAAAUGAAAAAAAUUAUAAAAACCACAUUUCCUCAUCUUCAGGUGUUCUCCUGUCCAGACAAGAGCCCAUCCAAAAUAGCACUGCUCCCAUCUCCUCCUUCCACAUUUUCAACACCCGAAAUUACACUUCAACACACAAACUCCUCCCCCGGCCUGACUUAAGUCUUCUCACUCCCUCAACAAUCAACUGGACAUAGCUCCAAACCACCACAGUCCUUCCAUUGAAGACCUACUCACCACAAUAAUCUCCUUUAUCAAACCUGUACUACAUCAAUCCAGCAUUAUCACCUAGUCCAAACCACAUGCAGUCCACCAUUCCUCGACAAUCACAUCCCUUUACUUCAAUCCCAUGUCCAUCGCCUUAUUCUCAUAUGCAAUAUACCCAACUUUCUCGCCCAAUAAACCUCAACUCCACAAUUUCAAUGUCAACUUCAAGAUCAGGGCCAUAACCAUCUUCACCUUCACACAAAAACCCAAUCUCACACCAAACCUGAAACCAACUUCCUCCUACGCUUAGCUAUGAAUUGCUUCAGAGAGUUCAUUGGUUUCAGAGAACUGCUUCAAGUGUGAAUUACUUCAGAUAAUUGCGAUAUACUGUUAGAGGAGUUGUUGCAUGGGUCGCACUUGAUUGAAAUAUAAUGAAGGAGAAAGGGGAUGGCUUCUAGUGUGGUUGCCAAAAAAGAGGAGAUAAAAGGUGACUAAAUCUAUGAUACAAUACAAAAUGGGUCCUGAUUGGAGCAAUAGGGACCAGUGAUUUGAUUCUAUCGGUGCUUAAUUGAUUUGUGGGAGGCAACAGUAUGUGUGGCAGAGAGUGAGAGGAGCUAGGACUGUACUGUGAGAGGAGCUAGGACUCUGCUAGUGUGGGUUGUCUGUGGAGAGCAUUAGGAAGACUGGCAUUGAGUUUCUACCUAGGAGUGAAGGAAUGUUGCUUGAAGGAGAGUGGUGCUCUAUCGUUGUGUUUGCUUUAAGUGUUGGUGAGAGAAUGGUCUAAAAUGAGCUUUGUCUGUUGUCAUUGGUGGUAACGUUAGCUGAGGAUGGAGGCUGUGAUAGUACUAUGCAAUGAAGAAAAUGAAUCUGUGUUCUUAUGGAAGUUGCCUCGUUUUGCAGAUAUGAAUUUUUCUUUAUUUUCUUUAAUAAAGAAAAUGGUAAUAAAUGUGAUUAGAGGUGAUAAUUGCUGAUUAGGGAGGCUGACAUAGCAUUAAUCGUUAACUUUAACAGCUCUAUUUAAUAGCAGGAUGUAAUUGUUUCAAUGCCAAUAGUUGAGGAUAUUUUUGUUAAAAGAAAGUGUGGGGUAGAAUUGUUAAAAUCCCCAAAGUUCAGGAUUUUUUAGACAUUAACC